UACGGAGGGAGCUAGCGUUGUUCGGAAUUACUGGGCGUAAAGCGCGCGUAGGCGGCUUUGUAAGUUAGAGGUGAAAGCCCGGGGCUCAACUCCGGAACUGCCUUUAAGACUGCAUCGCUAGAAUCCGGGAGAGGUGAGUGGAAUUCCGAGUGUAGAGGUGAAAUUCGUAGAUAUUCGCAAGAACACCAGUGGCGAAGGCGGCUCACUGGCCCGGUACUGACGCUGAGGUGCGAAAGCGUGGGGAGCAAACAGG
rnacentral:rRNA from 1 species